UACGUAGGAGGCAAGCGUUGUCCGGAAUUACUGGGCGUAAAGCGCGUGUAGGUGGUGGGACAAGUCUGCUGUGAAAGCGCCUGGCUUAACCGGGCGAGGUCGGCGGAAACUGUUCGACUCGAGGACGGUAGAGGGGGGUGGAAUUCCCGGUGUAGUGGUGAAAUGCGUAGAGAUGCGGAGGAACACCGAUGGCGAAGGCAGCCCCCUGGGCUAACACUGACGCUGAGGCACGAAAGCGUGGGGAGCAAACAGG
rnacentral:rRNA from 1 species